rnacentral:rRNA from 1 species
GGCGGCGUGCUUAACACAUGCAAGUCGAACGGAAAGGCCCUGCUUUUGUGGGGUGCUCGAGUGGCGAACGGGUGAGUAACACGUGAGUAACCUGCCCUUGACUUUGGGAUAACUUCAGGAAACUGGGGCUAAUACCGGAUAGGAGCUCCUGCUGCAUGGUGGGGGUUGGAAAGUUUCGGCGGUUGGGGAUGGACUCGCGGCUUAUCAGCUUGUUGGUGGGGUAGUGGCUUACCAAGGCUUUGACGGGUAGCCGGCCUGAGAGGGUGACCGGCCACAUUGGGACUGAGAUACGGCCCAGACUCCUACGGGAGGCAGCAGUGGGGAAUAUUGCACAAUGGGCGGAAGCCUGAUGCAGCAACGCCGCGUGCGGGAUGACGGCCUUCGGGUUGUAAACCGCUUUCGCCUGUGACGAAGCGUGAGUGACGGUAAUGGGUAAAGAAGCACCGGCUAACUACGUGCCAGCAGCCGCGGUGAUACGUAGGGUGCGAGCGUUGUCCGGGUUUAUUGGGCGUAAAGGGCUCGUAGGUGGUUGAUCGCGUCGGAAGUGUAAUCUUGGGGCUUAACCCUGAGCGUGCUUUCGAUACGGGUUGACUUGAGGAAGGUAGGGGAGAAUGGAAUUCCUGGUGGAGCGGUGGAAUGCGCAGAUAUCAGGAGGAACACCAGUGGCGAAGGCGGUUUCUCUGGGCCUUUCCUGACGCUGAGGAGCGAAAGCGUGGGGAGCGAACAGGCUUAGAUACCCUGGUAGUCCACGCUGUAAACGGUGGGUACUAGGUGUGGGGUCCAUUCCACGGGUUCCGUGCCGUAGCUAACGCUUUAAGUACCCCGCCUGGGGAGUACGGCCGCAAGGCUAAAACUUAAAGGAAUUGACGGGGCCCCGCACAAGCGGCGGAGCAUGCGGAUUAAUUCGAUGCAACGCGUAGAACCUUACCUGGGUUUGACAUGGAUCGGGAGUGCUCAGAGAUGGGUGUGCCUCUUUUGGGGUCGGUUCACAGGUGGUGCAUGGCUGUCGUCAGCUCGUGUCGUGAGAUGUUGGGUUAAGUCCCGCAACGAGCGCAACCCUUGUUCACUGUUGCCAGCACGUUAUGGUGGGGACUCAGUGGAGACCGCCGGGGUCAACUCGGAGGAAGGUGGGGAUGACGUCAAGUCAUCAUGCCCCUUAUGUCCAGGGCUUCACGCAUGCUACAAUGGCUGGUACAGAGAGUGGCGAGCCUGUGAGGGUGAGCGAAUCUCGGAAAGCCGGUCUCAGUUCGGAUUGGGGUCUGCAACUCGACCUCAUGAAGUCGGAGUCGCUAGUAAUCGCAGAUCAGCAACGCUGCGGUGAAUACGUUCCCGGGGCUUGUACACACCGCCCGUCAAGUCAUGAAAGUUGGUAACACCCGAAGCCGGUGGCCUAACCGUUGUGGGGGAGCCGUCGAAGGUGGGACUGGUGAUUAGGACUAAGUC